rnacentral:rRNA from 1 species
GGGGUGCUCGAGUGGCGAACGGGUGAGUAACACGUGAGUAACCUGCCCUUGACUUUGGGAUAACUUCAGGAAACUGGGGCUAAUACCGGAUAGGAGCUCCUGCUGCAUGGUGGGGGUUGGAAAGUUUCGGCGGUUGGGGAUGGACUCGCGGCUUAUCAGCUUGUUGGUGGGGUAGUAGCUUACCAAGGCUUUGACGGGUAGCCGGCCUGAGAGGGUGACCGGCCACAUUGGGACUGAGAUACGGCCCAG